AGUGAACGCUGGCGGUAGGCCUAACACAUGCAAGUCGAACGGCAGCACAGUAAGAGCUUGCUCUUACGGGUGGCGAGUGGCGGACGGGUGAGGAAUACAUCAGAAUCUACUUUUUCGGGGGGGAUAACGUAGGGAAACUUACGCUAAUACCGCAUACGACCUACGGGAGAAAGCAGUGGAUCUUCGGACCUUGCGCGAUUGAAUGAGCCGAUGCCGGAUUAGCUAGUUGGCGGGGUAAAGGCACACCAAGGCAACGAUCCGUAGCUGGUCUGAGAGGAUGAUCAGCCACACUGGAACUGAGACACGGUCCAGACUCCUACGGGAGGCAGCAGUGGGGAAUCUUGCACAAUGGGCGCAAGCCUGAUCGAGCCAUACCGCGUGAGUGAAGAAGGUCUUCGGGUUGUAAAACCCUUUUGUUGGGAAAGAACAGAAGCAGGUUAAUCCAUGGCUGUUUUGACGGUACCCAAAGAAUAAGCCCCGGCUAACUUCGUG
rnacentral:rRNA from 1 species